rnacentral:rRNA from 1 species
UACGUAGGGGGCAAGCGUUGUCCGGAAUCAUUGGGCGUAAAGCGCGCGCAGGCGGCCUUGUAAGUCUGUCGUUUAAACUCGGAGCUCAACUUCGAGUCGCGAUGGAAACUGCAAAGCUUGAGUGCAGAAGAGGAAAGUGGAAUUCCACGUGUAGCGGUGAAAUGCGUAGAGAUGUGGAGGAACACCCGUGGCGAAGGCGGCUCUCUGGGACGGUACUGACGCUGAGACGCGAAAGCGUGGGGAGCAAACAGG